rnacentral:lncRNA from 1 species
ACUCUUCUCCAACCACCUCAGGCUGAACUCCCCUCGGUGUCCAGACGUCUCUCCUUUUCUCUCUUUUUCUGCUGCAUUGUUCCACCAUCACUGGUCUGCUGGUCUGCUAGUCUGCUGGUCUGCUGGUCUGCUGGUCUUCUAGUCUGCUGGUCUGCUGGUCUGCUGGUCUCAAUGUGCAGCCACUUGUGGGUGUGCCCUCUAAGGUCUCAGGUUUGUAUGGACACAGGAUGGGGAGUGUGGCAGGCCACAGUGGUCUUGGAAAAUGCAACAUUCAGGCUUGAAAACAGGAGCGCAUCUUCUCACUUAGGUCUGUGGGCACAGGCCUGAAGUUGGAGCUUUUGCCAAGGACCCUGCCCUUCUCUAUCCAGCACUUCCCUGCCCCACUCCCGUAACAGAGAUAUAAUAUUAUAUAGAGAUUUGGUUACCAAUCCCUUUAUAUAUACAUAUGUAUUAUAUACGCACAGAUUAUGUAUACAUAUGUAUUAUAUACGCACAGA